rnacentral:rRNA from 1 species
AUCUAUGGCCAUAUAAACCUGAACAGACCUGAUUUCAUCUGCUCUUGGAAGUUAAGUAGGCUCAGGCUUGAUUAGUUCUUGGAUG